rnacentral:rRNA from 1 species
UGAGUAACACGCUAUCCAACCUGCCGAUAACUCGGNGAUAGCCUUUCGAAAGAAAGAUUAAUACCCGAUGGNAUAAUCAGACCGCANGGUCUNAUUAUUAAAGAAUUUCGGUUAUCGAUGGGGAUGCGUUCCAUUAGGCAGUUGGUGAGGUAACGGCUCACCAAACCUUCGAUGGAUAGGGGUUCUGAGAGGAAGGUCCCCCACAUUGGAACUGAGACACGGUCCAAACUCAUACGGGAGGCAGCAGUGAGGAAUAUUGGUCAAUGGGCGCAGGCCUGAACCAGCCAAGUAGCGUGAAGGAUGACUGCCCUAUGGGUUGUAAACUUCUUUUAUAUGGGAAUAAAGUUUUCCACGUGUGGAAUUUUGUAUGUACCAUAUGAAUAAGGAUCGGCUAACUCCGUGCCAGCAGCCGCGGUAAUACGGAGGAUCCGAGCGUUAUCCGGAUUUAUUGGGUUUAAAGGGAGCGUAGGUGGACAGUUAAGUCAGUUGUGAAAGUUUGCGGCUCAACCGUAAAAUUGCAGUUGAUACUGGCUGUCUUGAGUACAGUAGAGGUGGGCGGAAUUCGUGGUGUAGCGGUGAAAUGCUUAGAUAUCACGAAGAACUCCGAUUGCGAAGGCAGCUCACUGGACUGCAACUGACACUGAUGCUCGAAAGUGUGGGUAUCAAACAGGAUUAGAUACCCUGGUAGUCCACACAGUAAACGAUGAAUACUCGCUGUUUGCGAUAUACAGUAAGCGGCCAAGCGAAAGCAUUAAGUAUUCCACCUGGGGAGUACGCCGGCAACGGUGAAACUCAAAGGAAUUGACGGGGGCCCGCACAAGCGGAGGAACAUGUGGUUUAAUUCGAUGAUACGCGAGGAACCUUACCCGGGCUUAAAUUGCAUUUGAAUANUNUGGAAACAGNNUAGCCGCAAGGCAAAUGUGAAGGUGCUGCAUGGUUGUCGUCAGCUCGUGCCGUGAGGUGUCGGCUUAAGUGCCAUAACGAGCGCAACCCUUAUCUUUAGUUACUAACAGGUCAUGCUGAGGACUCUAGAGAGACUGCCGUCGUAAGAUGUGAGGAAGGUGGGGAUGACGUCAAAUCAGCACGGCCCUUACGUCCGGGGCUACACACGUGUUACAAUGGGGGGUACAGAAGGCAGCUACCUGGUGACAGGAUGCUAAUCCCAAAAGCCUCUCUCAGUUCGGAUCGAAGUCUGCAACCCGACUUCGUGAAGCUGGAUUCGCUAGUAAUCGCGCAUCAGCCAUGGCGCGGUGAAUACGUUCCCGGGCCUUGUACACACCGCCCGUCAAGCCAUGAAAGCCGGGGGUACCUGAAGUACGUACCGCAA